GUUGUGUUUAUUACAAGACGCCGCCAAUUUCCAUGUUCCCUCUGGUAUUUCCAAAGUUUAUCCAAUCACGACUAGUGUAACACAUCUACCAGUGUGUAUGAAUGGGGAUAUUCCUAUAAAAUUGUCAGGAAAUGAAGAACUCAAGUUAUCGUUUAAAGUCUACAACCCUACCGAAUAUCUCAAAGUUGAAUGUCUUGACAAAAGUUUGGAUGCCUUUAAUAACUGUUCACGGUACAAUCUGUUCGUUGACAUGGCACCAUACACUUUCUUGUUUCUGGGCAUCCUAUUAAUAUGACAAUUUCAGGAAAAGACUUACACACCUCUUUUGUUCUGGUAAUACUUGUGAAAAACAUGUAUGGUGAAGUUAAUUGUACUUUCAACGUUCAUACAAAUGAGAUGUUUGGAACUACCUCAUCUAAUAAUUUGACAGGCUGGACGGAAAGAAUCUCCAGUACAAGCUGGGCAGAAAAAAUCCCCAGCACUAGUUCCAUGUCAAUCAUAACAACAUAUGCAAUCGUCUGUGGGUUUUCUGCACUUGUAUUUCGUGUAUCAGGAUGCAUUUUUAAACGUGUUAGAAAAAGAACCAUUAUAUUGUAAUUGUAAGAAUGAUUGUGCAUAAAAAUGACACAUUGUUUUUGUUAUAUUUUAUGAAUCAAAACAACUGUUAAUGAUAAAAUGUUAACAAUGAAACUUAAUGUUCGGUACACACUUUUGUGUGCCUCACACUGCUGGUAGACUUUUACUUGAUGAAUCUUCAUUUCUACAUGAAAAGUUCAAAUGCACGAAAAAACAUAUAUACAUCUUCACGAAAUUGGAAGUGCACAAUUAAUUGCUUUGAAACAUGCAUUUAUAUAGAUACUAGAUUUUAGGUUUUCAUCUGUGAUCAACUUUAAGAAAUAUUAAAAAUGAGGAAAAUAAAAGUAUUUGGUCUAAAGGUAAAUAUUUGUUUAAGUGGAA